GCGGGUAUCGUAUAGUGGUAAUACUACAGGUUUCCAACCUGUCGACAGGGGUUCGAUUCCCCUUACCCGCUCCA
rnacentral:tRNA from 1 species